GACGAACGCUGGCGGCGUGCUUAACACAUGCAAGUCGAACGGAAAGGCCCUGCUUUUGUGGGGUGCUCGAGUGGCGAACGGGUGAGUAACACGUGAGUAACCUGCCCUUGACUUUGGGAUAACUUCAGGAAACUGGGGCUAAUACCGGAUAGGAGCUCCUGCUGCAUGGUGGGGGUUGGAAAGUUUCGGCGGUUGGGGAUGGACUCGCGGCUUAUCAGCUUGUUGGUGGGGUAGUGGCUUACCAAGGCUUUGACGGGUAGCCGGCCUGAGAGGGUGACCGGCGACAUUGGGCCUGAGAUACGGCGCAGACGCGUACGGGAGGCAGCAGUGGGGAAUAUUGCACAGUGGGCGGAAGCCUGAUGAAGCAACGCCGCGUGCGGGAUGACGGCCUUCGGGUUGUAAACCGCUUUAGCCUGUGACGAAGCGUGAGUGACGGUAAUGGGUAAAGAAGCACCGGCUAACUACGUG
rnacentral:rRNA from 1 species